rnacentral:rRNA from 1 species
UACGGAGGGUGCGAGCGUUGUCCGGAAUCACUGGGCGUAAAGGGCGCGUAGGCGGCGCGGGAAGUCCGUGGUGAAAGCCCGAGGCUCAACUUCGGGUCGGCCAUGGAUACUCCUGGGCUUGAGCACUGUAGAGGCAGGUGGAAUUCCGGGUGUAGCGGUGGAAUGCGUAGAGAUCAGGAAGAACAUCGGUGGCGAAGGCGCUCUGCUGGACCAUAACUGACACUCAGGGACGAAAGCUAGGGGAGCGAAUGGG